AGUGAACGCUGGCGGUAGGCCUAACACAUGCAAGUCGAACGGCAGCACAGUAAGAGCUUGCUCUUACGGGUGGCGAGUGGCGGACGGGUGAGGAAUACAUCGGAAUCUACUUUUUCGUGGGGGAUAACGUAGGGAAACUUACGCUAAUACCGCAUACGACCUACGGGUGAAAGCAGGGGAUCUUCGGACCUUGCGCGAUUGAAUGAGCCGAUGUCGGAUUAGCUAGUUGGCGGGGUAAAGGCCCACCAAGGCGACGAUCCGUAGCUGGUCUGAGAGGAUGAUCAGCCACACUGGAACUGAGACACGGUCCAGACUCCUACGGGAGGCAGGAGUGGGGAAUUUUGGACAAGGGGCGCAAGCCUGACCCAGCCAUACCGGGGGGGUGAAGAAGGCCUUCGGGUUGUAAAGCCCUUUUGUGGGGAAAGAAAAGCAGCAGGUUAAUACCCCGCUGUUCUGACGGUACCCAAAGAAUAAGCACCGGCUAACUUCGU
rnacentral:rRNA from 1 species